AUGGAUUCUCUACAACAACUCAGACAAUUUCAGGACAUUGUUUGCACAAGGUACCUCACAGACAACGCGACCCUGCAGACGCUAGAGCAAGCAGUUCCAGCAGCAUCAAGUAGACUAGUCGAUGCCAGCCGCACGAAUGAAAUAGUAGCCACAAUAGAACAAAGAGAAAGGAGAAAAGGUAAGAAAGAGGAAGAGGACGAAGAGAGGAAGAGAAGAACAAAUUCAAGGGACGAUGAACUCCAACAGCAGGAUGGCGUCAACAACCCCAAAAACAAGAAUGAACGCAACAAACAAAGCAACCUCACAACAGACAGUGCUACAACAACAACUACUCCAACACAAGCACAAGAUACGAUCGACGUCAGAACCAGCAAAGAGGCUCAGCUAGAGAACAAUCAAGUCAGCAGUCCCGUCAACCAAAUGCAGGAGGCAGAACCACAAUCAACCGUUAGCAUAACAAAUGGCAAAGAAGAAGAAAACAACGAAGAGGAGGUAUCACAAUCAUUGCAAGACCAAGAGAUAACCAGUGUUUAA
rnacentral:rRNA from 1 species